GUGCCAGCAGCCGCGGUAAUACGUAGGCAGCAAGCGUUGUUCGGAAUUAUUGGGCGUAAAGAGUGCGUAGGCGGUGUUCCAAGUCUGUCGUGAAAUCUCCCGGCUUAACUGGGAGGGUGCGGCGGAAACUGGAAUGCUAGAGGGUGGGAGAGGUAAGCGGAAUUCCUGGUGUAGCGGUGAAAUGCGUAGAUAUCAGGAGGAACACCUGUGGUGUAGACAGCUUACUGGACCACUUCUGACGCUGAGGCACGAAAGCGUGGGUAGCAAACAGGAUUAGAUACCCUGGUAGUCCACGCCCUAAACGAUGCAUACUUGGUGUGAGCGAUUCAUUUCGUUCGUGCCGGAGCUAACGCGUUAAGUAUGCCGCCUGGGGAGUACGGUCGCAAGGCUGAA
rnacentral:rRNA from 1 species